rnacentral:rRNA from 1 species
AACGAACGCCGGCGGCAGGCCUAACACAUGCAAGUCGAGCGAGGACUUCGGUUCUAGCGGCGGACGGGUGAGUAACGCGUGGGAAUGUGCCCUUCUCUACGGAAUAGCCCUGGGAAACUGGGAGUAAUACCGUAUACGCCCUAUUGGGGAAAGAUUUAUCGGAGAAGGAUCAGCCCGCGUUGGAUUAGGUAGUUGGUGGGGUAAUGGCCUACCAAGCCGACGAUCCAUAGCUGGUUUGAGAGGAUGAUCAGCCACACUGGGACUGAGACACGGCCCAGACUCCUACGGGAGGCAGCAGUGGGGAAUCUUAGACAAUGGGGGCAACCCUGAUCUAGCCAUGCCGCGUGAGUGAUGAAGGCCUUAGGGUUGUAAAGCUCUUUCAGCUGGGAAGAUAAUGACGGUACCAGCAGAAGAAGCCCCGGCUAACUCCGU